rnacentral:rRNA from 2 species
AUUCAACAUGGAACGAGUGGCGGACGGGUGAGUAACACGUGGGUAACCUGCCCUUAAGUGGGGGAUAACAUUUGGAAACAGAUGCUAAUACCGCAUAGAUCCAAGAACCGCAUGGUUCUUGGCUGAAAGAUGGCGUAAGCUAUCGCUUUUGGAUGGACCCGCGGCGUAUUAGCUAGUUGGUGAGGUAACGGCUCACCAAGGCGAUGAUACGUAGCCGAACUGAGAGGUUGAUCGGCCACAUUGGGACUGAGACACGGCCCAAACUCCUACGGGAGGCAGCAGUAGGGAAUCUUCCACAAUGGACGCAAGUCUGAUGGAGCAACGCCGCGUGAGUGAAGAAGGCUUUCGGGUCGUAAAACUCUGUUGUUGGAGAAGAAUGGUCGGCAGAGUAACUGUUGUCGGCGUGACGGUAUCCAACCAGAAAGCCACGGCUAACUACGUGCCAGCAGCCGCGGUAAUACGUAGGUGGCAAGCGUUAUCCGGAUUUAUUGGGCGUAAAGCGAGCGCAGGCGGUUUUUUAAGUCUGAUGUGAAAGCCCUCG